UUACCUGUAUCCCUGGGGCAGCAGCUGCCUUCGCCGCCUUGCUGGGCUCGGCCCGCCCCGCCGGCGUGUGAGGGGUUUCUCUGGGAUUCCCGCUGUAAACGUUUCCCUCAGGGGCCUUUUUUCCUUCCUUCCUUCUUGUGGGCUUUCAGCGCAGCGCUCUGGGGGCUGUGGCCCACCACGGUGAUGGGCCACUCUCCUGAGGUGUGUGUGUGCUGGCCUUCAGGGAAGGUCAUGCACAGCAGCCACAGAAACUAUAGGGAAGAGGAAUGUGGAAAACUACCCCUGUACCCUCAGCGUCCAAAAGCAGUGAUAUUAGCAAGGCAUGUAGUGGUCUUAGUCUUUUUUCCUCUUGCUUUUGCAUUAUUGGUCAUAUCCUUAGCUUCUGAAGCAACACAUCUCCCCAAAGAGGCAUACAAGCACUGGUUCCUUGGGAGUGCUUCUGAAGCUAGACUUUCUGGCUGGAUUCCAUAUCCCAUAAUGUUUUAUGCCUAUGGAUUCUUACAAUGCAUUUCCCCUUUCAUCCAUCAUGGAGAGUUUGACCUUGGAUCUGAAUUGUUACCUUGCUUUUGCCUGAUGAUCACUGGACCGUUGACAGGACCUGUUGUCAUCACCCAGCUUGGGUGCUCUGGGACUGUGCCCUGAGGGUAAGCUCACUGCCCAGCCAGUGUCAUGAUUGUUCUCAGCUCCCCGUUAGCCUUCCCUUAGGGAGCAGCCCAGCUCUUACUGCUCCAUCCUACUGUCCUUCACAGGCUUUUACUGAUUUUUAUGGUGUCAAUAAUAAGAAUAAUCAAAUUACCAAAGUAAUCAUUCUGGAUGUUAGAAUCAUCCUCAGAAAUUGAUAUGGUCCAUUCUGAUACUUAAAGGAGGAUGGAGGGGGGAAGCAUACAGCUUUGUUCAAGUAACUGUCAAAUUUAUGUAUAUAUGUAGACCCUGCAUCUCUUGGAUGGUGAUGAAGUUAUUAACAGUGGA